rnacentral:rRNA from 1 species
UGCUAGUCGAGCGCCUUCCAGCCACGAAGAAGGCGCGGCACACAGCUCAGUAACACGUAGCUAACCUGCCCUCGGGACGAGAACACCCCCGGGAAACUGGGGCUAAUUCUCGAUAGGCGAAGAACUCUGGAAUGAGUCUUUACCCAAAAGACGUUUAGAUCAUGCUUCUAGGCGUCGCCCAAGGAUGGGGCUGCGGCCGAUCAGGUAGUUGGUGAGGCAAUGGCUCACCAAGCCUUUAACCGGUGCGGGCCGUGGGAGCGGGAGCCCGGAGAUGGGCACUGAGACAAGGGCCCAGGCCCUACGGGGCGCAGCAGUCGCGAAAACUUUGCAAUAAGCGAAAGCUUGACAGGGCUAUCCCGAGUGCCAUCCGCUGAGGAAGGCUUUUACCCAGUCUAGUAAGCUGGGGGAAUAAGGAGAGGGCAAGUCUGGUGUCAGCCGCCGCGGUAAUACCAGCUCUCCGAGUGGUGUGGAUGUUUAUUGGGCCUAAAGCAUCCGUAGCUGGCUGAGUUAGUCCCCUGUUAAAUCCACCGAAUCAAUCGUUGGAUUGCGGGGGAUACUGCUCGGCUAGGGGACGGGAGAGGCAGACGGUAUUUCCGGGGUAAGGGUGAAAUCUUAUAAUCCCGGGAAGACCACCAGUGGCGAAGGCUGUCUGCUAGAACGCGCCCGACGGUGAGGGAUGAAAGCUGGGGUAGCGAACCGGAUUAGAUACCCGGGUAGUCCCAGCCGUAAACGAUGCANGCUAGGUGUUUGGGCGGCCACGUGCCGCUCUAGUGCCGCAGGAAAGCUGUUAAGCCUGCCGCCUGGGGAGUACGAUCGCAAGAUUGAACUUAA